rnacentral:lncRNA from 1 species
GAGAUCGCGGCCCACUGCGCAGGCGAGCAACGGCAGCUCUGAGCAGCGGCCUUGGAGCGCAUGCGUAGCUACUGAACGGACCCCGUAAGAGGCUACUGCGCACGCGGGAGGGGAAAUAAACAAAGUAGCGGGGGUUAAGGCGCAAGCGCAGAGCGUAGCCACGGGGGGUUUGUUUGAUUAAACGUUGCGCAAGGGGCGGAGUCUUGCGUAGGCGCACGAAAGCGGUAGGCUUCUCCACCGCCGACUUUCCGUCUCGCUGCACAUCUGUGGAGAAGGAGGAGCUUGUGGUCCGCUGCCUUGAGGUUUGACCUACUUUUCUAGGCUGGGGCCUCCGUAGACCUGAGGGGUAGCUAACUGGGCGCGCCUCAGAGCACGCUUUUCACCUCGGGGAAGAGGCCGGCUGCAGGAAUAGCGAACCAAGGCGGUUCAGUGAUGGAACUGUCACCUGGCUCAGGCACGAAGCUCACUCGGUGACAUUCCUAGUCACUUUCGCAACCCUACCUCACAGGGUUGUUCUGGCGGCUCCCCCCCCCCCGCCCCAGUGUGUGACGCUUUGAGUUGCCCAAACUCCUUGGCUAAAAAGCUGGAUAAAAAUGAAGUAAAUAACGAACAGGGAAAGGGCUGCAAGCUCAUUGGCAGAGUACACGGUUUGUAGGCAUACAGUUCCAUUUCUGACACCGACAGGCUGGGCUGGGAAAGGCGUCUGUCUGAAACCCUGUAGAACCCCAACCCCUCUAUAAAGAAAGUGGACUCCUGGGUUGCUCCUGGAAAAGUCCUGCCCGUUUCCAGUGGGUGAACAAUAAUCUCCAAUGUCGGUAGAUGUGCUUGACUGACGUAUUCCCUUGGUUACUCUGUUUCGCUUUUGAAAAAAUGCCACCUCUCUGGCAGAGCAGGGUGCACCCGAUGCAGGUGAAGCCCGGACAGAGUCUGGUGAGUGAGAGUACAAGAUGGGUGAGGGGAGGAGCCAGGACAGAAUCUGGCAUGUUUUGGACCGAGCUGGUCUUUUGCUAGCUUUUCAGGGUUGCUUACUUGGCAAGAGUACAGCUUUAUAUUUGGACUAGUAACAUAGUGGUCUGUUGACAAACCUUACUGAGGAAAGAUUGCUGCUUUUCUGUACAAUUGUCAUUGCUUUAUUUGCAUAUGUAACACUUUUACAUUGCCCAAAACUAGGUGCUAAUAAUGAAAGGAUAAUACAAAAUCUAGUUUCUUUUUUGAGGAGCAGACACAUAAAAAUUAUCUUAGCGGGAAAAAGUUUAGGUCCCACAUUUUUGCUGUGCCUGCUCUGGUGCCGUUCAGUGAUAAUACAGAAAUUGUACAGGCAAAGCAUUGUUUCUAGGAAAGCUUUACCUACCAAAUUUCUAUGUGGCUGGCUUCUUUUAAUUUUUAGUCAUUAAAAAAAAUUGAAUUGACUACAAAUACUUAGGAUGGUCUAGAAUUUCAUAGGGGUGUGAUUUAAAAUCUGUUUUGUUGUUGCUUUAUUUUAUGUCUUGGCUUUAACAUUUUCAUAUUGUUAAAUAAUAAAUACUUGCAUCCGGUUUGCUUUUUUUUCUAUGCAUCAUUUUAGGCUUCAGAUAGGGUUGAAAGUAAUCUGAUGCGUAGAAACAAGCAACUUCAUCAAAAGAUCAAAAGUUUCUGUGAUGGUGAGGCUUUUUGUCUCAGAAAUAAAAGAAACACCUGUGUUACAAUUGAGAUGAAAUCUGAUUGAUGCUGUUUGCUUUGACUAGCCACUUUCUUUUCUCCACUUGCACUAGAGUUGUUGGUACUUUGGGCAGCUUCUCUGUGUUAGUACCAGACACACCACAUCAUCAAUGACUUCUGUUCCUCACAAGUAUGAGCCUCUUUAAUUCUGAGCUGCUUUAUUCUCUUCUUGGAAAAUGACUCCUCACACCAUAGGGCAAGGAUGGGGAACCUGUGGCUUUCCAGAUAUUGUCGGACUAUAGCUCUCAUCCCUGACCACUAGCCAUGAUGACUGGAGCUGAUGGAAGUUGGAGUUCAGCAAUAUCUGCAGAGGCACAGCUUCCCCAUCCAUAGUAUAGUGAGUUAUGUGACUACCCAUUUCAACUUUCUGCUGAGUUCUUAGUAUGCAAGGAGGAGGAGUAGUGAAAUGUUAUAGGGUGCUGCUGUUGCAUCCAUUGGUCACUAGAUGGCACUCUGCUUAUAGAUUUGUGUUUUAGGACCCUUGCUCUUUCAGGAUCAUAAGGGUGCAAGAGGUGGGGAGAGGCAAAUCUCUCCAUUUUGCAACCUUCCCCACCCCAGAGGUGGCAUGACCAGUCCUCCAAAAGCUGCAGCAUUGACCUUGGCAGGCCACAGAUGCAUUUUUGGUGAAAUAGUAGAACUCAUGGACAUCCAAUGAAACUGAAUGUUGGGAGAUUCAGGGCAGAUAAAAUAACACUUCUUCAUGCAAGUGCAUAGUUAAACUAUAGAAUUUGCUCCUAUAGGAGGCUGUGUUGGCCACCAACUUGGAUGCCUUUAAAGGAGGAUUAGACAAAUUUAUGGAGGAUAAUGUUGGAGGAAAUGGACAUGAAGGCAUUAAUUUAUUUCAUGGCCACAAAUCACCCCAUGUCUGAGAUAAGCCAACAGAUGCAAGGUCAGCAAAGCCGGUUGCUAUGGCCCAGUGUCGUGUGUGUGUGUAAUUAAGGCAUGUUAGCUCAUCAGUUGAUGAGUCUGUGUCUAUGUCUUGAAUUGCUGGAACAACAUAGAUAUUUUCUACUUGUAUGUAUCUGUAUCUGCAAAGCUUACAAGCUGCAUGCAUAUGUCAACAUCUGGAACUGUAUUACUGAGGCCUGAUCUUUUGCAGCAGUAAACUGUUUUGGACCUU